UCGGGCAGACGAAGGUGAAGUCCAACGGGUAGAAGAAGAGAAUGACGUACUUCUUCCCGAUGUAGUCGGACAGCUUCACGUUGAUGAACUCCUGGUCGAAGACUGCCUCCGCAUCGAAGUCGGGCGCCUUGUUCCCGACCAGCGGCGCAUCGUCCACACCGCCGGCGCGGGCGACGAAGCUGCUGGCCCGGGCGGAUCUGGAUGAGGAGGCGGAGAGGCGGAGGGGCCUGGCGGCGGGAGCGCGGGGGAGGGAGAGGGAGUGCGGCGCGGCGGGGGGGAUGCCGGCGAGGGGCUUGGCGGAGGAGGAGGAGACGGCGGUGGCGAGGGAGGAGCAGCAGGCGGCCAUGGCCGCAGAGCGGAGUGGAUGAGGAGGGGAUUGGGUUGGAUUGGGUGCG
rnacentral:misc_RNA from 1 species